rnacentral:rRNA from 1 species
UACGGGGGGGGCAAGCGUUGUUCGGAAUUACUGGGCGUAAAGGGCGCGUAGGCGGCCUCCUAAGUCAGACGUGAAAUCCCCCGGCUUAACCUGGGAACUGCGUCUGAUACUGGGAGGCUAGAGUGCGGGAGAGGGAUGCGGAAUUCCAGGUGUAGCGGUGAAAUGCGUAGAUAUCUGGAGGAACACCGGUGGCGAAGGCGGCAUCCUGGACCGACACUGACGCUGAGGCGCGAAAGCUAGGGUAGCAAACGGG